CACUGAGAAGCUAUGUACCAGCGCUAGCCUUUUAAGCUGGAGAAAGAGGACCGCCCCCCCUCCUUAGUGA
rnacentral:tRNA from 1 species